GAGCCCGGCUCCCGUAGGAGUCCGGGCGAAGCCUUCUUGCAAUUAAGGUUAGGUGAGAAGUCCGGCUCCCGUAGAAGUCCGGAUGGGGCUUACCGACAGUUGAAGUUGGCGACAGAGCCUGGCUCCCGUAGGAGUCCAGGCGAAGUCCUCCUUGCGACUGAAAUCAUGGGUGGAGCCUGGCUCCCGUAGGAGUCCGGGCGGAGUCCCCCUUGGAGUCUUGGACGGAGCCCGGCUCCCGUAAGAGUCCGGGUGG
rnacentral:lncRNA from 1 species